GAUGAAGAACGCAGCGAAAUGCGAUACGUAAUGUGAAUUGCAGAAUUCAGUGAAUCAUCGAGUCUUUGAACGCACAUUGCGCCCCCUGGUAUUCCGGGGGGCAUGCCUGUCCGAGCGUCAUUGCUGCCCUCAAGCACGGCUUGUGUGUUGGGCCUCCGUCCUCCUCCCGGGGGACGGGCCCGAAAGGCAGCGGCGGCACCGCGUCCGAUCCUCGAGCGUAUGGGGCUUUGUCACCCGCUCUGUAGGCCCGGCCGGCGCUUGCCGAUCAACCAAAACUUUUUUCCAGGUUGACCUCGGAUCAGGUAGGGAUACCCGCUGAACUUAAGCAUAUCAAUAAGCGGAGGA
rnacentral:misc_RNA from 1 species